rnacentral:lncRNA from 13 species
CUCAGGGUUGGGGGACUAGGAAAGGGAUAGCAUUAGUAGAAAUACCUAAUGUAGAUGACAGGUUGAUGAGUGCAGCAAACCACCGUUGCACAUAUAUACCUGUGUAACAAACCUGCACAUUCUGCACAUGUAUCCCAGAACUUAAAGUGUUAAAAAAAUCCUGAACUGAUUAUGUUUCAAGUUCCCUGUUUAAAGACCCUCACUUAACAGACAUUGCAUCAAAACUUGGAAAAUUCAGAUGCUCUCUUCUUAAACUGUAAUAUAGAAUCAGUGGUUGGGGAAGAUAAAUCUCACUAAAUGAGUCUUUCUGAAACUACACUCACUUGGCACAAAAAGAGUAGGGGAACUAUAUAACUUAAGCUCCAAGGUGGGGUGUUUGUCAUGAUAAUUUAAUGCUGAAUUCUUGUAAUACAUUACUCAUAAACUACAGAGAUUCAGCCAACAGCAGGCACUUUUUGCAUGCUCAUUUUUUUCCAGGCACAAUCUGAACCCUGGUUAUUCAAGGCUGAAUAAUACAAAGUCCUCCUUACAGAGAUCAGGACCUGGCAAUGGAGGCCAGAUCAGGGCAAGCUGGACAGAGAUUCAAAGAAGAGCACCGUCUUGCAGAACUUGUAGCUCAGUAUGGCUGGAAAAUAAUAAAAAAGAAAGGAAAAGGAAAGUGGUAUGAGGUGAGGAGAAACCGAAGGCUUCUUGGAGAUUCACCUGGAUAAAGCUGGGUGGGUUCUUCAUACUCCAUCUCUGCAGGUCCAGCUCCAAGAGCCAGGAUGCAGGGUGUGGUACCUGGAGGCAGAGUCAAUCUCAUGUCACUCUCACCACACAUGCCUUAGAAACUGCUUCCCCUCCUGACUCAGGAACCCAGAGAUUUUAUACCAAGACAUUUACAUCUGCAUGGAGAGUUGGAAAGAUCACUUUUUCAGAAUCCAGUUAUUGAUUAAACGGCCUUCCAGAAAUGAUUAGAGGUCUCUCACUCUCAAUUUCUCCCUCUGUAAGCAUCAGGAAUGAUGACAUUUAUCCCAUAUGGAAUUACGAUAAUAGGUAAUUUUACUGUAUGUAUAUCUUUUUAUUAAAUAGAUUUGUUUAUUAAUCAAACCCUAUUU